rnacentral:rRNA from 1 species
CCACCCGGUAAGCCUGAAUACUUCCCAGUGACCGAUAGCGGAUUAGUACCGUGAGGGAAUGGUGAAAAGUACCCCGGGAGGGGAGUGAAAUAGUACCUGAAACCGUGUGCCUACAAGCCGUCAGAGCCUUCGACUUUGUUGUGGGGUGAUGGCGUGCCUUUUGAAGAAUGAGCCUGCGAGUCAGGGACAUGUCGCGAGGUUAACCCGAGUGGGGUAGCCGUAGCGAAAGCGAGUCUGAAUAGGGCGUAUCCACACAACAGUGUGUGGUGUAGUGGUGUGUUCUGGACCCGAAGCGGAGUGAUCUACCCAUGGCCAGGGUGAAGCGCGGGUAAGACCGCGUGGAGGCCCGAACCCACUUAGGUUGAAGACUGAGGGGAUGAGCUGUGGGUAGGGGUGAAAGGCCAAUCAAACUCCGUGAUAGCUGGUUCUCC